UAAAGUGAUAGUUACCUCUAAUGAAAAGAUACAUAACGGCAAAUGUCAGCAACCCUUUUAAAUCCUCCACGACUUAUCACGAGGACGAGUGUUCCUGGUGGUGCCACAUCUUUUGUCACCAUUUCCUCCUAAAUCAGGUGAUGGACAUUGGGCUGUUUCCACUUUUUGGCUGUUACAAAUACUGCUACUUCUGAAGAUUCAUGUCUGAGCUUUGUGUGGAUGUGUGCUUUCAUCUCUCAGGGUGUUGCUGGAGCAAAGAGAAAUACCAAUGUGCUGUAACUGUCACACCAAUGAGAACCAGAGCAAGAGUGGAACCUGACUCAGAAGAAGCUCAGCAGAUGCUUGAAAAUCUAUGAGCCAAAGACCUCAGAGGCAGCGAGAUGAGAAUAUUCCACUGUGGUUUCCCCACAGGCAAACUGGUCACCCAUCUUUUGCUCCCAUCACAAAUAUCCCAUCUGAGGACCCGGGACCCUACCCAGGGAUGAUACUCACGUGGGGAAGCUCCAGAAGUUGGGCCAUGACUCAUGUCCAUCUCGGCCAGAUGGAAUCUGCUGGUCGGAAAGGGCUGAGGUGGUCUGCCUUUGAUUUUGCCCUUCGUGCAGUAACCAGCCUGGGAUCCUGGCCUUUGAGCUCUCAAGGCCACGGAUACUGAGUUAAUGGUGAUGGUAUACCUGCCACCUGGGGAAUUCUGAGAAGAUGGCCAACACUGAUGUAGAUGCUGAAAUUAAAAAAGAAACAAAGUACUGAUGGUUUCAAGUUCUUAAUCUUUGUGAGGAUUAAAUGAGUUAAAGCAGGUACUUAGCUCAUAGCAUGUGAUCAAUAAACACUAUCAUUAUUAUUUCUUCCACUCUUGGCUUCCCUGGUUACAUGAACCAACAAAAACUUUUUUAGAAAAGGCUAUUGAACUGGAUUUCUAUCUCUGGCACCCAGGCACUCAGAUGCUCAGGAUCUCAGGAAUGUCUUUUCUUCGAAAGGAAAGCUGGUGCUGAGUUAAGUCACACAUAUGUGUCAGUGACUGUAGUAACCAGGCUCCAAGAUGGCCCCAAUGAUCUCUGCAUCAUGAUAUUCAUGCCUUUUCAUAGUUCCCUCCCAUAUGGAAGAGGGCUGACUAGUAGAAUAUUGCAGAAAUGAUACAGUGUGACUUCUGAAGAGAGAUCAAAAAGAACUGUGCCUUCUAUCUCGGUCCCUCUGGGGCCCCUUGUUCUGGGGGCAGAGGGCUGCCAUAUUGUGGACACUCAGGCUGCUCUGUGGACAGAUUCACGUGGAAGGGAGCUGAGAACUGCUGCCCACAGCUGUGUGAGCAAACUGUCUUGGAAUUGGAUGUUCAGACCCAGCCAAGCUUCCAGAUGACUCCAGCCAGCCCUGACAUCUUGACUGUAACCCCCAUGAGAAACCUCAGGCCAGAACUACCCAGCUAAGCUACUCUUGAAAUCCGGAUGCACAG